UGGUGGGAGCGAUCAAGGGGCAAACAGAUUCCUUCUCCUGGCCCAAUUUAGGGUUAGAAUGAGGAAAAACUCACUAAUAUUUCAUAGAGUGGUCAGAGAUGGGGAAUUUUCUGGAUUUUGUCAAGUUUUCAAAAAAUGCCAGAGGAACUACAGGAUGUCAUAUGAAGUGUAGAAUGAAUGGGAUUUUGGAUACUAAUUUCUGAAACAUCUUAGAAUCUCUGAUAAAAAGUCUAGGGACAUGGAAGCUGUAGGUCUGGUUGCACAAUUUAAGCAGGACCUCACCUAUGGCAUUUAUUUGAACUAUUUCACUAAGUCGGUGACUGUUUCCUGUGAGGACAACUUUUGUUAAGCAUGUCUGCCUGGUGCUGUGAGGAAGCCUCCACACCAAACAUUUGCCCGAAGUUUAAGGAAACGAAUGAAUCUGCAUACUUUAUUGCAAAUGGUAGAUUGCCUAAUCUAAGUAUCACUGGCAAAUUGGCUACUGAUGGUAGGAAUAAGCUUCUCUGAAGAACAUCACAAGGCCCAGGAGCUUUUCUGUGAAGAUGAUCAGAGGCUUCUCUGAGAAGCUCCAGGAAACCUGGAAUAAUGUGAAGACAAAACCAAGGGAUACUGAAAUUGUAAUCAACAAUAAGAAAAUAAAUAUACAAAACUGUAAGCUGAGGGUGAAAAACGACAUCUAGAAUACCUGGAAAAUCAUAGGAAAAAAAACUUGGAGGAACUGGUGAAGAAUGAAGCCCAAGUGUCUCGGCAUAUGCAGCACUCGCAAAAGAAGACUGGAGAUGUAGAGGAUUACUUUAAAAAACCAGACUCAGAGAUGCUUUUGG